rnacentral:lncRNA from 1 species
CAGAUGAACAGAGGAGGAGUAGGAUAAGGGUACGGCUAAAAGCUAUGAGAAUUGGUCGUCUAUGACGUCCAGAAUAGAGAGUAAAAGGAGCAUGUUUCUGGGGGCGAUAAAAUAGCUUCAAGGUAUAAUGUACAGACAAAGGUAUGAUAGGAUGUGAAUACAGUGGAGGUAAACCUAGGCAUUGAGUGAUGAUGAGAGAGAUAUUGUCUCUAGAAACAUCAUUGAAACCAGAAGAUGUCAUAGCAUGUGUAGGUGGUGGAACUGAAAGGUUGGAUAAGGUAUAAUGAGCAGGGCUAGAGGCUCUACAGUGAAAUAAGCCAAUAAACACUAACCAGAACAGCAAUGGACAAGGCAUAUUGACAUUAAGGAGAGGCAUGCUUAGCCGAGUGAUCAUAAGGGUCCCGUGAGAUUCAGACAGCUAGCCGGGCCAUAGGUAGCAAGCUGGCAGAAGAUGGAGGGAGGUCUGUUUUUAGCCACCUCGUGCGUUUCCGUCUGUAGAUUAGUGGGGUUCCGUGUGGUAGGGGGGACCAGUCCAAUUGGCAAAAUAGUUACCUGGUACCUCUAAAGGUGGUAUUGAGCCAGACAGACAGCUCCUGGUACCUCUCUGUUUCAGCUGUUAUGGUCAGUCUAGCUGUAUGGAGAUGGUACUGCUCUGUUUCAGCUGUUAUGGUCAGUCUAGCUGUGUGGAGGAGGAGGUACUGCUCUGUUUCAGCUGUUAUGGUCAGUCUAGCUGUAUGGAGCAGAAGGUACUGCUCUGUUUCAGCUGUUAUGCUCAGUCUAGCUGUAUGGAGGAGAAGGUACUGCUCUGUUUCAGCUGUUAUGGUCAGUCUAGCUGUAUGGAGGAGGUACUGCUCUGUUUCAGCUGUUAUGGUCAGUCUAGCUGUAUGGAGGAGGAGGUACUGCUCUGUUUCAGCUGUUAUGGUCAGUCUAGCUGUAUGGAGGAGGAGGUACUGCUCUGUUUCAGCUGUUAUGGUCAGUCUAGCUGUAUGGAGGAGGUACUGCUCUGUUUCAGCUGUUAUGGUCAGUCUAGCUGUAUGGAGGAGGAGGUACUGCUCUGUUUCAGCUGUUAUGGUCAGUCUAGCUGUAUGGAGGAGGUACUGCUCUGUUUCAGCUGUUAUGGUCAGUCUAGCUGUAUGGAGGAGGAGGUACUGCUCUGUUUCAGCUGUUAUGGUCAGUCUAGCUGUAUGGAGGAG